CUUGUGAAAUCCUGUCUCUUAAACAUAGGGCGUCAAGAAGUACUGCCGAGCUAGAGACUGGGAGACGUAAGAAGUACGUUCGGAGUAGCGGUAAAAUGUGUUAAUCCCGAAUGGACUAACAAUUAGCAAAGGCAUCUUACAAGAACUGUUCUGACAGUAAGGGAUAAAGGCUAGGGGCCCAAAUCGGAAUAGAAUACCCCGUUAUUCCUAGCAGUAAACACUGCACACUAAACAUUCGUUAUUCCUCAAAAGGUAUUUGUUCCUGCAGGAACCCG
rnacentral:rRNA from 1 species